AACAUUAAUGAAAAAUGUCAGUCACUGCUGUUAGUGUCGGCGACCACCAUAACUCAAUAAUGACUUGACUUUCUGCUAUUUCCUACACCCUUUUAUGAUAUUUCAAUAGCUCAGACUAAAACAGAUGCAUGAGACUACCAAAGCUUGUAUUAAAAUGUUCAAGGUAAUUGAUGUCCUGUCAGCUACACAGACACCCUGGGAUUCACUACGAAAUCACCUAUGUGUCAGGAAGAGUCCUACAAACUAAAAAGAUCCUUCAUAUUGGCCAAGGCCACCUGAUGACCAACAGGUGCUUUAGAAAUGAAUUCAGGAAUGGGACACCCCUGACCUUUAGAAGGAGCCCAGGAAAACAUUCAGCCCAUGUCCAUCCCUGUCCACCAGGGGGUGCAGCUUCCUAACACAAGCUCAUUUUCUGAGCAAACUGUACAGUUCGACUCAUCAUUGCAGUAGCAGUUCAACAGUUCUUCAUGUUAAGUGAAAUCAUUUGGGUGACCCUCCUAAGAUGAACAUUUCUCCAAGCUUUGUGACUGUGAUAUUCUUCAUACUUGGUGGAAGGACAUAUGGAGACUCAGUGACGCAGAUGGAAGGCCAAAUCACUGUCCCAGAAGAGGCUAUGCUGACCAUAAAUUGCACUUACACAGCCACAGGAUACCCUGCUCUUUUCUGGUACAUCCAGUACCCUGGAGAAGGUCUGCAGCUCCUCCUUAAAGCCUCAAAGGACAAGGAUAAGGGAAGCCACAAAGGAUUUGAAGCCACGUAUGAUAAAGACACCAGCUCCUUCCACUUGCAGAAAGCCUCAGUCCAAGAGUCAGACUCGGCUGUGUACUACUGUGCUGUGGGUGACACAGUGGCAGGAACUGCAGGGGGAGCCGAGCACAAACUCUGGGCAGUGAAAAGGGGCCUGGCUGCUGAGUGUCUGCCUCUGGGCCACUUUGGUUUCCGCACAGGCUGUGAUACGUAGGCUACUUUUUCUCUCACUGAUGUAACACCAUACAAGUACCCAGAGCAGAAGACAAGAAGUAGAUGUCACUUAUACCCAGCUCUUCACCAGUAACACUGAGAUACAAUCUGAUAUCAAUAAUUCCACAUGGAAGGGCAAAGUAAUUUCAAGGGGCAGAAGCCUGAUCAUGACCAAUGUAAGAAGCACUGACUUGAUUUUUUUUUAAGGAAGAAAUGAUGGAGACUCAGUGACUCAAACAGAAGGCCAAGUUGUCCUCUUA